GCUUACAGCCAUAUCACAUCGACUGUACCAGUUCACAUCUGAUCACUGAAGUUAAGUAAUGUUGGGCCUAGAUAGUACUUAAGGUGGGUGACUGCUUGGGAAACAUAGGGGCUGUAAGCA
rnacentral:rRNA from 1 species